UCCUCGCCGGGGGGUCCCCCUCGCGCCCACCUCGUCCGCGCGGCCUCCUCCACGCCUUCGGGUCUUUCGGGUCCUCCCGCCCUUCGCGCCCCCCGGGCCUGCGGGGUCUGGAUUCGUCUCCGCCGACCCCUCCCACGUCCGGCUCUCCGUGCUGCCGCCUUUCGGAGGUGCACGGUCGAAAGCCUUCCCGGUCCCACCUCCACCUGUCAAGUCCAUCAGGCGCGCGCGGAGCGCCCCAGGUGCACAGCAGGCACAGUUGGGACAGGAAAGCGCAAGGCGUUUGCUGCUUGCCAUCCAGAUUCUGGUGGUCUGCUGGUAACCUGUGUUUCUUGAGCAAGAGACAGGCAGAGAGAGAAGCAGGCUCCAUGCAGGGAGCCCGACGUGGGACUCCAUCCCGGGUCUCCAGGAUCACGCCCUGGGCUGCAGUCGGCGCCAAAGCGCUGCACCACCGGGGCUGCCCAGCAUCCAAGUUUAAAAGCAUGAUGUUAACAGCAUCCCAGAAGCUGGGAUACCCCAGAAGGUAUGAACAUUCAUACCCUCUAUCCAGUCUCUACUCAUACUCUCCCCACUCCAUAAAGGUAACAACUCUGCUGACUUUUAA